rnacentral:ncRNA from 1 species
ACCAUCCAUUCCCUGGGGUUGCGCUACCGUACAAUGAGUGCACAGUAAGAGCAAUCCCUACCUAACACACUUGCCUCCACUAGAGCUUUGCUACACCUCAGUGUGAUUUUUGGAAAA